UGGGGAAUUUUGGACAAUGGGCGCAAGCCUGAUCCAGCAAUGCCGCGUGAGUGAAGAAGGCCUUCGGGUUGUAAAGCUCUUUUGUCAGGGAAGAAACGGUGGGGGCUAAUAUCCCUUGCUAAUGACGGUACCUGAAGAAUAAGCACCGGCUAACUACGUGCCAGCAGCCGCGGUAAUACGUAGGGUGCAAGCGUUAAUCGGAAUUACUGGGCGUAAAGCGUGCGCAGGCGGUUUUGUAAGUCUGUCGUGAAAUCCCCGGGCUCAACCUGGGAAUUGCGAUGGAGACUGCAAGGCUAGAAUCUGGCAGAGGGGGGUAGAAUUCCACGUGUAGCAGUGAAAUGCGUAGAGAUGUGGAGGAACACCGAUGGCGAAGGCAGCCCCCUGGGUCAAGAUUGACGCUCAUGCACGAAAGCGUGGGGAGCAAACAGGAUUAGAUACCCUGGUAGUCCACGCCCUAAACGAUGUCUACUAGUUGUCGGGUUUUAAUUAACUUGGUAACGCAGCUAACGCGUGAAGUAGACCGCCUGGGGAGUACGGUCGCAAGAUUA
rnacentral:rRNA from 1 species